GCGCACCAGGCGCGAAACCUCCGCAAUACACGAAAUGUGACGGGGCUAUCCCGAGUGCCGUCCGCUGAGGACGGCUUUCCCCAGUGUACAUAGCUGGGGGAAUAAGGGAGGGCAAGCCUGGUGUCAGCCGCCGCGGUAAUACCAGCUCUCCGAGUGGUGGGGACGCUUAUUGGGCCUAAAGCAUCCGUAGCCGGCUGGGCAAGUCCUCCGUUAAAUCCAACGAGUCAAUCGUUGGGCUGCGGGGGAUACUGUCCAGCUUGGGGACGGGAGAGGCCGACGGUAUUCCCGGGGUAGGGGUGAAAUCCUAUAAUCCCGGGAGGACCACCAGUGGCGAGGGCUGUCGGCUAGAACGCGCCCGACGGUGAGGGAUGAAAGCUGGGGGAGCGAACCGGAUUAGAUACCCCCGUAGU
rnacentral:rRNA from 1 species